UGGGGAAUAUUGCACAAUGGGGGAAACCCGUGAUGCAGCGACGCCGCGUGAGCGAAGAAGUACUUCGGUAUGUAAAGCUCUGUCAGCAGGGAAGAUAAUGACGGUACCUGACCAAGAAGCCCCGGCUAACUACGUGCC
rnacentral:rRNA from 1 species